CCAGACUCCUACGGGAGGCAGCAGUGAGGAAUAUUGGUCAAUGGGCUUACGCCUGAACCAGCCAAGUCGCGUGAGGGAAGACGGCCCUACGGGUUGUAAACCUCUUUUGUCGGGGAGCAAAGCGAACCACGUGUGGUUCAUUGAGAGUACCCGAAGAAAAAGCAUCGGCUAACUACGUGCCAGCAGCCGCGGUCAUACGUAGGAUCCGAGCAUUAUCCGGAGUGACUGGGUGUAAAGAGUUGCGUAGGUGGCAUAAUAAGUAGCUAGUGAAAUCUGGUGGCUCAACCAUUCAGACUAUUAGCUAAACUGUUAAGCUCGAGACCGUUAGGGGUAACUGGAAUUUCUAGUGUAGGAGUGAAAUCCGUAGAUAUUAGAAGGAACACCGAUAGCGUAGGCAGGUUACUGGGACGGUUCUGACACUAAGGCACGAAAGCGUAGGGAGCAAACGGGAUUAGAUACCCGGGUAAU
rnacentral:rRNA from 1 species